GAUGAACGCUGGCGGCGUGCCUAAUACAUGCAAGUCGAGCGAACAGACGAGGAGCUUGCUCCUUUGACGUUAGCGGCGGACGGGUGAGUAACACGUAGGUAACCUACCUAUAAGACUGGGAUAACUUCGGGAAACCGGAGCUAAUUCCGGAUAAUAUUUCGAACCGCAUGGUUCGAUAGUGAAAGAUGGCUUUGCUAUCACUUAUAGAUGGACCUGCGCCGUAUUAGCUAGUUGGUAAGGUAACGGCUUACCAAGGCAACGAUACGUAGCCGACCUGAGAGGGUGAUCGGCCACACUGGAACUGAGACACGGUCCAGACUCCUACGGGAGGCAGCAGUAGGGAAUCUUCCGCAAUGGGCGAAAGCCUGACGGAGCAACGCCGCGUGAGUGAUGAAGGUCUUCGGAUCGUAAAACUCUGUUAUUAGGGAAGAACAAACGUGUAAGUAACUGUGCACGUCUUGACGGUACCUAAUCAGAAAGCCACGGCUAACUACGUG
rnacentral:rRNA from 1 species